GUUUCAGACACCCCCGCUGGAAAUAAAUACUGAUUUCUCAACUUCUAUAUCAUCGGAUGAAACUUUAACAGUUUUAGAAUCUACUCUGCCCAACCCUUCCCUUCGAUCAUCUCAGGCUAGAUCUUUGGAUCUCCCAGAUCUCCAGGAGGACCUGGAGAACUAUAUAGACGAGUAUCCAGAUCAAGGUUUUGACGAUGGAGACGGGUUCGUUUUUUCAUUGACAACAACUUCCGUCGCAACCAUCCAACCUUCUCUUUUACCCUUCCAACCUUCUCUUUUACCCUUCCAACCUUCUCUUUUACCCUUCCAACCUUCUCUUUUACCCUUCCAACCUUCUCUCUUACCCUUCCAACCUUCUCCACUCCCAAUCCAACCUUCUCCUCUUCCCUUCCAACCUUCUGAGUAUUCUUCCCUUGGUUCCUUCGAGAAUGAUUUUCUUCCUUUCCCCUCUAAUUCUCCAUUCCCGUCCACAGAAUCUACUGAAUUGAAGAACCCCUUGGAUAAUAUAGGAGAUUUUCCUCUAAAUAUUGAACAGUUAGAAUAUCUACAACAACUACAGG